GAAGACAAGGCAUUGUGGGCAUUAUUCAAGUCAUUGGGCAGCCAAAUACACAAGUUGUAUCAAAUGCAGAAAGGUCAAAUUCGGAAUAAAAACUGUAUUGAUUGAGCCAGAAUUAAAAUGCAAGCUAUAUACCGUUGGAAAGAUAAUUAAGUUAGCUUUCCAAUAAAUUUUACAAAGCUGGAUUUGGAGUUCUCUAGAAGGAGUUAUGACCAAUUCUUUACAGCUUG
rnacentral:lncRNA from 1 species